GCGCCAAUAGUCCAAUGGUUAGGAUUGCCGCCUUCCAAGCGGCAGGUCUGGGUUCGAUUCCCAGUUGGCGCA